rnacentral:rRNA from 1 species
CAUGGGCAGGUUGAAGGUUGGGUAACACUAACUGGAGGACCGAACCGACUAAUGUUGAAAAAUUAGCGGAUGACUUGUGGCUGGGGGUGAAAGGCCAAUCAAACCGGGAGAUAGCUGGUUCUCCCCGAAAGCUAUUUAGGUAGCGCCUCGUGAAUUCAUCUCCGGGGGUAGAGCACUGUUUCGGCAAGGGGGUCAUCCCGACUUACCAACCCGAUGCAAACUGCGAAUACCGGAGAAUGUUAUCACGGGAGACACACGGCGGGUGCUAACGUCCGUCGUGAAGAGGGAAACAACCCAGACCGCCAGCUAAGGUCCCAAAGUCAUGGUUAAGUGGGAAACGAUGUGGGAAGGCCCAGACAGCCAGGAUGUUGGCUUAGAAGCAGCCAUCAUUUAAAGAAAGCGUAAUAGCUCACUGGUCGAGUCGGCCUGCGCG